rnacentral:rRNA from 1 species
GAUGAACGCUGGCGGCGCGCCUAACACAUGCAAGUCGAACGAUUAAAGCACCUUCGGGUGUGUAUAAAGUGGCGAACGGCUGAGUAACACGUGGGCAACCUGCCCCCCUCAUUGGGAUAGCCACGGGAAACCGUGGAUAAUACCGAAUACUUCGGGACUUCCGCAUGGAAGACUCGAGAAAGCUCCGGCGGAGAGGGAUGGGCCCCCGGCCUGUUAGCUUGUUGGUGGGGUAAUGGCCUACCAAGGCAAUGAUGGGUAGCUGGGUUGAGAGACCGACCAGCCAGAUUGGGACUGAGACACGGCCCAGACUCCUACGGGAGGCAGCAGUGGGGAAUCUUGCACAAUGGGCGAAAGCCUGAUGCAGCGACGCCGCGUGCGGGAUGAAGGCCUUCGGGUUGUAAACCGCUUUCAGCAGGGACGAGGCGAAAGUGACGGUACCUGCAGAAGAAGCCCCGGCUAACUACGUG